rnacentral:rRNA from 1 species
UACGUAGGGGGCAAGCGUUGUCCGGAAUCAUUGGGCGUAAAGCGCGUGUAGGCGGCUCGAUAAGUCUGCUGUGAAAGUUCAGGGCUCAACCCUGAAAUGCCGGUGGAAACUGUCGAGCUAGAGUCCGGAAGAGGCGAGUGGAAUUCCUGGUGUAGCGGUGAAAUGCGCAGAUAUCAGGAGGAACACCAAUGGCGAAGGCAGCUCGCUGGGACGGUACUGACGCUGAGGCGCGAAAGCGUGGGGAGCAAACAGG